AUGCUUGAGGACCAGGGGGAGUGGAUAAGAGCGUUAUGCGGGAGCCAGGCCCAGGGCUGCUGGGCCUUGCGGCAUCUCAGAAAGCAGUGUUCUUGGGGCAUCUCCACCACGGCCUGGGCUCUUAUUCUCCUCACCCUCCUCACUCGGGUCACAGGUUCUUGGGCCCAAUCUGCCCUGACUCAGCCUCCCUCAGUGUCAGGGACUCUGGGAAGUACCAUCACCAUCUCUUGUACUGGAACCAGCAAUGACAUUGGGAAUUAUAAUUUUGUUUCCUGGUAUCAACUGCUCCCAGGCAUGUCCCCCAACGUCCUGAUUCAUAAUUUAAAUACAGGCCGUCCCUGAUCAUUUCUCUGGCUCCAAGUCUGGAAACAUGGCCUCCCUGACCAUAUCUGGGCUUCUGGCUGAGGAUGAGGCUGAGUACUACUGUUGCUCAUAUACAACCAGUAGCACUUUCCACAGUGGUCCAUGUUCAUGGGGAACUGAGACCAAAACUUGUCCUGUAAUCACAGACUCCCUUCUUGCUCUGAAGAUGCUUCCCUACUCUGUGCAGAGGGGGCUUUCAGUGGCAAGGCCUUGA